rnacentral:rRNA from 1 species
CAAGUCGAACGGCAGCGCGGGGCAACCUGGCGGCGAGUGGCGAACGGGUGAGUAAUAUAUCGGAACGUACCCUGGAGUGGGGGAUAACGUAGCGAAAGUUACGCUAAUACCGCAUAAGCUCUAAGGAGGAAAGCAGGGGACCGCAAGGCCUUGUGCUGCAGGAGCGGCCGAUAUCUGAUUAGCUAGUUGGUGGGGUAAAGGCCUACCAAGGCAUCGAUCAGUAGCUGGUCUGAGAGGACGACCAGCCACACUGGAACUGAGACACGGUCCAGACUCCUACGGGAGGCAGCAGUGGGGAAUUUUGGACAAUGGGCGCAAGCCUGAUCCAGCAAUGCCGCGUGAGUGAAGAAGGCCUUCGGGUUGUAAAGCUCUUUUGUCAGGGAAGAAACGGGAGUGGCUAAUAUCUGCUCCUAAUGACGGUACCUGAAGAAUAAGCACCGGCUAACUACGUGCCAGCAGCCGCGGU